rnacentral:rRNA from 1 species
AGAGUUUGAUUCUGGCUCAGGAUGAACGCUAGCUACAGGCUUAACACAUGCAAGUCGAGGGGCAGCAUGGGUAGCAAUACUCAGAUGGCGACCGGCGCACGGGUGAGUAACACGUAUCCAACCUGCCGCUUACUCGGGGAUAGCCUUUCGAAAGAAAGAUUAAUACCCGAUGGUAUAAAGAGUUCGCAUGUUCUCUUUAUUAAAGAAUUUCGGUAAGCGAUGGGGAUGCGUUCCAUUAGAUAGUUGGCGGGUAACGGCCCACCAAGUCUACGAUGGAUAGGGGUUCUGAGAGGAAGGUCCCCCACAUUGGAACUGAGACACGGUCCAAACUCCUACGGGAGGCAGCAGUGAGGAAUAUUGGUCAAUGGACGAGAGUCUGAACCAGCCAAAAGUAGCGUGAAGGAUGACUGCCCUAUGGGUUGUAAACUUCUUUUAUAAGGGAAUAAAGUGAGGGACGUGUCCCUUUUUGUAUGUACCUUAUGAAUAAGGAUCGGCUAACUCCGUGCCAGCCGCGGC